rnacentral:rRNA from 1 species
AAAGAGGGGUAAAGAAUUUGGCAAUUAAGUUGUAGAACUUAGGGAUAACAAUGGUGUUUAUCGACCGACUGUAUAUCAAAUACACAGGGUUUAGUUAAAGAUGUUUAUAAUUUAGAGCUGAUAUGUGACCACUAUUUAUAAGCUCGUUUCUGCUGUGACAAAGGUUGGCUGUAACUAUAACGGUCCCAAGGUAGCAAAUUUCCUUGUCGUUUAAGUAACGACCUGCAUGAAGGAUGGAACGAAUCGAUAGCUCUCUUGCGUAGGUGUGGUGGUGAAAUAUUAGGUGGUGUGAAGAUACUCCAACAAUGUUAUGGGACAAAAAGACCCUGUGAACCUUUAUAGGGAUAAAAUUUAGUAGGGGUUUUAUAUUGGUAUAUCGCUUCGGCUGGGAUGGAAAAAGUGUGAGAUACCAUUCAUUGAGAAUAGGAUAACAUAAAUCAGUUACAUACAACACUUCGGUGUUUAUCAAUUUAUAUUUGUCAAAUGUUAGAUGGGCUAUUUAAUUGGGGCGAUAACCUUCUUUAAUCGAACGAAAGGUGAACAAAGCUAUUGAUACGGGCUUUGUUAAAGGACGAGUAAGUACAAAGAUAGAUCUGUGGCUUAAUGGUAUUACUUUGUUUGAUCCAGUAUUUAAAUGGUGUCUUAGUGACCUUAAAAUUAAUUUAUCAGAUAAAAGCUACUCAAGGGAUAACAGGCUUAAUUAAAAUUAGAGCUCACAUUAAAUUUGCCAGUUUGGCACCUCGAUGUCGGCUUAUCUUUUCAAAAAUCUGCAUUAGGAUUAUUGGUGGGAGUGCUCAUCCCAUAAUAAGGUACCUGAGCUGGGUUCAGAACGAUGAAAAUCAGUUUGGUCUAUAUCUCUAACUUCAUAAGUAAAUCAUAGUCUUCUUUGCUCAGUACGCAAGGACCGUCAACAAAUUGCUAAAGGUGAAU